AUUGAACGCUGGCGGCAGGCCUAACACAUGCCAGUCGACCGAGUGGCGGACGGGUGAGUAAUGUCUGGGAAACUGCCUGAUGGAGGGGGAUAACUACUGGAAACGGUAGCUCAUACCGCAACCCAUCGGAUAUGAACAGAGGGGAUUAGCUAGUAGGUGGGGUAAAGGCUCACCUAGGCGACGAUCCCUCGAUGGUCUGAGAGGAGGACCAGCCACACUGGAACUUAGACACGGUCCAGACUCCUACGGGAGGCAGCAGUGGGGAAUAUUGCACAAUGGGCGCAAGCCUGAUGCAGCCAUGCCGCGUGGAUGAAGAAGGCCUUCGGGUUGUAAAGUACUUUCAGCGGGGAGGCGUUACCCGCAGAAGAAGCACCGGCUAACUCCGUGCCAGCAGCCGCGGUAAUUC
rnacentral:rRNA from 1 species